AACGGCCGUAUCAUGCUGAAUAUACCGGUUCUCGUUAGAUCACCGAAGUCAAGCAUCAUUGGGCGCGGUCAGUACUUGGGUGGGUGACCACCUGGGAACACCGCGUGCCGUU
rnacentral:rRNA from 1 species